ensembl:snoRNA
AUCCCUCAGUUUAUGGGUAUGAUAAUUAAGUAUUCAUGACAAAUGCAUGAGAUGUGCCUCCUUCAAAAAUUUUUGGCACAUUGCUUAUCUGACA